rnacentral:rRNA from 1 species
UACGAAGGGGGGCUAGCGUUGCUCGGAAUCACUGGGCGUAAAGGGCGCGUAGGCGGCCAUUCAAGUCGGGGGUGAAAGCCUGUGGCUCAACCACAGAAUUGCCUUCGAUACUGUUUGGCUUGAGUCUGGUAGAGGUUGGUGGAACUGCGAGUGUAGAGGUGAAAUUCGUAGAUAUUCGCAAGAACACCGGUGGCGAAGGCGGCCAACUGGACCAGUACUGACGCUGAGGCGCGAAAGCGUGGGGAGCAAACAGG